CGAUACUUGUAUGAAAGAUGAACUCCUCCUCAUGAAGCAUAUCCCAUGGUCCCAGAAGGCAUCUUUGAUUGAUACACAUAAAUUAGAGGAUCAAAUAACUAGAAGACUACAUCCCUAUGCCACUCUUGCCCAAUCCUGUGAAUGGUACCUUUUUAGCUCCCCAAUCCGUGUUCAAUUCUUCAAGCUUCUCCAACUUUGCAUCCAUCUUUUCUCAUCUGCUGCCUCUGUUUAAAUGCAGAUUGAAUUCUGACUAGCAGCCCUGUGUUUUGAUGAUGGACUCGCUUCUAAUAAACUCCCGAUUCGACGCCUUCGCCUUCCAUCUAUCCAAGUCAAACCUCAAGUCUCUAGAGUCCCUCCAUUCCUUCUCGGGUUUCAAUUUCCAGCAUUCCAAUAAAUUGAAAAGCCGCUCAGUUCUGACAGACACAAAUAAUCCUCGAAACCCGAAUUCAAACUGGGGAAUCUAUAGGUCGCCAUUAAGAAAGAGACCCUUUUCAGCUUUCCUUCCAAUCAUCAAGAAAAUAAAAGAUAUCGCAUUAAAAGCCUCAAAGAUCAAAUGGGCAUCCAGCUUUCAGGGUUGUAGCAGCCUUGAGGCUUUGCCGUGUGAAUUUGAGGGAAAAUUUUCGCAAAAUGGAGCCAUUGGGAUAGCUCUGUUGAGUGUGACGUCAACAGCAAAGGUUAAAAUAAGUCCCUUCGUGGCUACGUUAGCUGCGAACCCGACUUUUGUUUCGGGACUUUUUGCUUGGGCAAUAGCGCAGUCUAUUAAAGUUUUCUUGAACUUUUGGGUGGAGAGGAAAUGGGAUUUGAGGAUAAUGUUUGCUUCUGGAGGAAUGCCAUCAUCUCAUUCCGCAUUGUGCACUGCAUUGACUACUUCAGUGGCUAUCUGUCAUGGAGUUGCAGAUUCGUUAUUUCCGGUCUGUUUGUGGUUUAGUUUGAUAGUCAUGUAUGAUGCAAUUGGUGUCAGAAGACAUGCUGGGAUGCAAGCAGAGGUUCUGAAUGUGAUUAUUCAAGACUUAUUCCAGGGUCAUCCUAUUAGUCAGAGAAAGCUCAAGGAGCUUCUUGGGCACACUCCAUCCCAGGUGGUUGCUGGAGCUUUGCUUGGAAGUAUUGUUGCUUGGAUCUGUUGUCAGGGUUGUGCUAUUGCUAUGUGAUCGGUAUUCAGCAGGUGCAUUGUCAAAUAGACUGGUACAAUCCUUUGCAACCUGGGUUUCCAAAAGCCUUGGCGUCUGAUGAAAAGAUAGCGGUUACCAUGUCACACAAACCUAACUUUUAAUCUGUAGCAUAAACUCGAGCGAGAGGUCCAGUUUUAGUGCUUAACCCUGUGACAUCCAACACAGCUGUUUCGAUAACAACAAAUAGGGGAUGGCAAGUCAAGACCCUGCACAAUACAGUCGGAUGCAACUGGCCAAGGACCAAGCUCAGGACACCUCAACCAGGAGAUUUGUUCCUAUUCAGAUAGCUCAAAUACAUAACAAGAGAUGUACAGUCAAGAGUGCCAGAGAUUUGGAACCAGACUGUUUUCUGCUUUUUAUUUAGUUGUAAAAUUGGCCAAUGGGUGACUUGCUUUGUGUUUUCAAUGCUGUAUCCCAACACACCAAUUGAAUACUUGUAAUGUCUCGGAAGACAUGUUCUAGAGGACGAACAAUCAUUUAGUUGUUA